AUUGAACGCUGGCGGCAGGCCUAACACAUGCAAGUCGAACGAGUGGCGGACGGGUGAGUAAUGUCUGGGAAACUGCCUGAUGGAGGGGGAUAACUACUGGAAACGGUAGCUAAUACCGCAUACCAUCAGAUGUGCCCAGAUGGGAUUAGAUAGUGGGUGGGGUAACGGCUCACCAAGGCGAAGAUCCCUAGCUGGUCAGAGAGGAUGACCAGACAGACGGGAACUGUGACACGGUCCAGACGCCGACGGGAGGCAGCAGUGGGUAAUAGUGGACAAUGGGCGCAAGCCUGAUGCAGCCAUGCCGCGUGUGUGAAGAAGGCCUUCGGGUUGAAAAGUACUUUCAGCGGGGAGGCGUUACCCGCAGAAGAAGCACCGGCUAACUCCGUGCCAGCAGCAGCGGUAAUAC
rnacentral:rRNA from 1 species